ACGGGUGAGUAAUGCCUAGGAAUCUGCCUGGUAGUGGGGGACAACGUUUCGAAAGGAACGCUAAUACCGCAUACGUCCUACGGGAGAAAGCAGGGGACCUUCGGGCCUUGCGCUAUCAGAUGAGCCUAGGUCGGAUUAGCUAGUUGGUGAGGUAAUGGCUCACCAAGGCGACGAUCCGUAACUGGUCUGAGAGGAUGAUCAGUCACACUGGAACUGAGACACGGUCCAGACUCCUACGGGAGGCAGCAGUGGGGAAUAUUGGACAAUGGGCGAAAGCCUGAUCCAGCCAUGCCGCGUGUGUGAAGAAGGUCUUCGGAUUGUAAAGCACUUUAAGUUGGGAGGAAGGGUUGUAGAUUAAUACUCUGCAAUUUUGACGUUACCGACAGAAUAAGCACCGGCUAACUCUGUGCCAGCAGCCGCGGUAAUACAGAGGGUGCAAGCGUUAAUCGGAAUUACUGGGCGUAAAGCGCGCGUAGGUGGUUUGUUAAGUUGGAUGUGAAAUCCCCGGGCUCAACCUGGGAACUGCAUCCAAAACUGGCAAGCUAGAGUAUGGUAGAGGGUGGGUGGAAUUUCCUGUGUAGCGGUG
rnacentral:rRNA from 3 species